rfam:Canis lupus familiaris chromosome X, whole genome shotgun sequence.
GGGGGGAGGCCGGAUCCUGGGCUGUGUCCCGGCGCCCUGUGCCCCGGGGCCUGCGCUGUUGGAUUCGCGCUCCCGCCCCGCAGCCCCCU